AGAGUUUGAUCAUGGCUCAGGACGAACGCUGGCGGCGUGCUUAAUACAUGCAAGUCGAACGCACUCGGACUUCGGUCCAUAUGGGUGAGUGGCGAACGGGUGAGUAACACGUGAGAAACCCACCUCGAAGUUUGGAAUAACUCAGGGAAACUUGAGCUAAUACCAAAUACCCUCUUUUGAUCGCAUGGUCAGCAGAGGAAAGAUUUAUCGCUUCGGGACGGUCUCGCGGCCUAUCAGCUAGUUGGUGAGGUAAUGGCUCACCAAGGCAUCGACGGGUAGCUGGUCUGAGAGGACGAUCAGCCACACUGGGACUGAGACACGGCCCAGACUCCUACGGGAGGCAGCAGUAGGGAAUCUUGCACAAUGGGCGAAAGCCUGAUGCAGCGACGCCGCGUGGGGGAUGAAGGCCUUAGGGUCGUAAACCCCUUUCAGUGGGGACGAAAUUGACGUACCCACAGAAAAGCCCCGACCUCUGCC
rnacentral:rRNA from 1 species